GUCUAUGGCCAUUACCACCCUGAAUGAGCCUGAUCUCAUCUGAUCUCGGAAGCUAAGCGGGGUUGGGCCUGGUUAGUACUUGGAUGGGAGAAAUGGACAAGGUGGGACACACAGACA
rnacentral:rRNA from 1 species